GGGUGACGGCGUACCUUUUGUAUAAUGGGUCAACGACUUAGUGUAACGAGCAAGCUUAAGCCGGUAGGUGUAGGCGUAGCGAAAGCGAGUCUGAAUAGGGCGUUCAGUUCGUUGCAUUAGACCCGAAACCGAGUGAUCUAGCCAUGAGCAGGCUGAAGGUUGGGUAACACCAACUGGAGGGCCGAACCCAUAACUGUUGCAAUAGUUCGGGAUGACUUGUGGCUAGGGGUGAAAGGCCAAUCAAACUCGGAAAUAGCUGGUUCUCCGCGAAAUCUAUUUAGGUAGAGCGUCGACCGAAUACCCUCGGGGGUAGAGCACUGGAUGGGCUAUGGGGACUCACCGUCUUACUGAUCCUAACCAAACUCCGAAUACCGAGGAGUACUAGUCGGCAGACACACGGCGGGUGCUAACGUCCGUCGUGAAGAGGGCAACAACCCUGACCUCCAGCUAAGGUCCCCAAGUCAUGGCUAAGUGGGAAAGGAUGUGAGGAUCCCAAAACAACCAGGAUGUUGGCUUAGAAGCAGCCAUCAUUUAAAGAAAGCGUAACAGCUCACUGGUCUAAAUAAGGGUCUUUGCGCCGAAAAUGUAACGGGGCUAAAGCCAUGCACCGAAGCUGAGGAUACAACGUAAGUUGUGUGGUAGCGGAGCGUUCCGUAAGUCUGUGAAGGCGGAC
rnacentral:rRNA from 1 species